rnacentral:RNase_P_RNA from 2 species
CAAGACAAUCAGGCAAUCGCCGCGCCCCUUUAUUUAAUUAUAAAUGGUCGGGGAGGAAAGUCCGGACAUUCAGUCAAUGCUUUUGUGUUGGCAGUGGUAGCGGGUAACGCCCGUCGAAAGAAAUUUUAGAGGUGCGAGCAGAGACGCUUUGACUUGAAAGAGUCGGGCACCCUUCGGGGUGAGCCUUGAUGGUAACAUCGGGGGUGAAACGGCUAAAUCCUUACCAGAAUGCAAGGCCGUGUCAACGCUUGCGUUGAAGUGCCGCUUGAGCUCAUUGGCAACAAUGAGCCUAGAUAAAUGAUUGUCUGGAGCCAUUAGGCUUUACACAAAAUCCGGCUUAUCGAUUGUCUUGAUAA